rnacentral:rRNA from 1 species
AUAUAACUAAGCGGAGGAAAAGAAACUAACUAGGAUUCCCCCAGUAACGGCGAGUGAAGCGGGAAGAGCUCAGGUUUGGAAUCUCUAACGAGAGUUGUAACCUGUAGAUGUGAUAAUCGGUUGGUGGUGUGCGUUGUUCAAGUGCUCUGGAACGAGCUGCCUGAGAGGGUGAUAGCCCCGUACAGCGACGUGCAUUUGCCCGAUAAGAUUUCAUAUCGACGAGUCGAGUUGCUUGGGACUGCAGCUCAAAGUGGGUGGUAAAUUCCAUCUAAAGCUAAAUACCGGUGGGAGACCGAUAGCGCACAAGUA